UAAUUUGCUGGGCUGCCUAUAUCGGCAUACGAGGUUGCAUUCAUCACUGGCAAUAUCUCAAUGCCAAUGUGGUCGGACCACUGAUAGGGCCACUGAGCUAGCUGGACUUUGAUCUUGCCCUCCCCCGGAAAACAAAGAUGGCUGAUUUUCCGAAUAUCGCCUGAUCGUGAUUUUGACUUCUUUGUUUAACUUUAUUGGUAUUGUAUUGUUUUAAAGUCACGAAGUGUGUGUGUGUUGUCGUGGUCUCAUGGAUCAGUGAAUCCUUUAAAGUGAUUUUACAUCUUUUAUCCUACCACGGAAUCGGAGCAUCGAUAAUUUUAAUGUAAAGUUUGAUUGACCUCAAAUUAGCAAGAUGGCAAAUUUGGGUAAUAAUCAUUACAAUAUAUAUUGUUUAUCUUGAGAAAGGUUUGCUAUAGUAGCAGUUAAUAGGAUCGACUGUAGCAUACUUACAACACAACACUGUAAAUUUUGCUUUAGCAACUUAGAACAGCUUUAUCUUUUAUUGUUUAAAAUAUUUACUAUAUUAUAGAAUAAUAGAAAUUAAGGUGCUAUCCCGUAUUUUCUGAGUAUUUAGUAUUAUUAAACUUCCAAACAAAAUCAUACUUAUAAUUUAUGCUAAAGAAUGAAAACAUACUGAAGUAUUUUCUAUAUUUUUAUUUCCUUACAACAAAAUUUAAUAAAUUGCUGUCGUAUUUUAAAUUUUUGCACGCAAAUUCGUGCGCUAAGUACUGUAUAUGUGUUUACUUAUAUUGUAAAGUCAAGAUGAUGUGUCCUCUCAUGGUUGAAUGUUUUAAAGUCCCCAUGUUUAUGAAAUAUCGUUAUUAUGCCUCAAUUUUGAUUUUAAAAUAUUCAUGUUUUCAUUUCAAAUUGCAGGUACUAAGACAGGCUUCUUAUAAACAAUAUUUAAUACCUAAUUACCUGCUUUGAGUUAUGAUAGGACAUAUUAGUUUGUAUUUCUACUAAGUAUGGUUGGAUAAGACAAUAUAUAAGCAUGUCUCAUACAACUCGGAGGUCUUUAUCCCUUCCAAUAUCUUUUAAGAAUAAUAUACAAAGACGUUUAUCAGAUAACGGUAUGUAUAAAUAUUGGUAUGAAAUGAUAACUGAUACCUUAGUGUAUUUAAUAAUACUCAGAAGAAAUUAUAUAUCUUUACAUGUCUCGUAUAGGUUUGCAUGACAUAAAGAUUUUAGGUCAAAAGAUAAACAGUUUGGAAGGGUUCAUUGCUAAUGUUUGGAACGGUUCAGUGGGCAGUCCAGAAAAACAUCUUAUUUUAAAAUGUUUUCCUAAUAAUAAAAUAAUCAUAAGUUAUAUGAUACAAAGUGAUUAGACAAAUGUAGAUAAACACAUAUAUUCAUGUGUUACCAUAGCCAAAACUGCAUGGAAAAACACAAAAUAAAACAGGUCAAUUAUAUAUAUAUAAUUAGAUAUAUUGAACAGGGUCUGAAAUUUGCAAUAUCCUGAUAUCUACAGCUAGGAUACUAAAAUUUGGUUUUGGAUAUCAAACUGUGAAUGACUUGUAUCCCGACUGGAUAUUACAAAAUUUCAAAUAUUAGAAUAAUGCUAAAUAUGUCUCCGGUGGUCUCCCAAUAGCUUUGAAUACUAUGAGUCUGACUAGGGUACUGAAAAAAGGCUCGGGAGAAUGCCCCCAGAUCCCCCUAGACUAUUUCAGUAUAGAAUACACAUUGAAAAUAUUAUAUAAACAUUCGAAACCGAAGGAAAUAAUUUUGCGCUAAUUGUCCUAAAAGUUCAAGAAUAUGGAAAUUAAUCUCUAAAAGAACACAUUUAACUUGAUUCUUGAAUCAAGAUAGAAGAUCACUAGGGCCCCAAAUGUUACAUUUGGCAUGGGUCCUCAAAUUGCUCUGUAUGGCCCUGCUGGCACUGUUAAAGUUGUAAUGGACCAUUCCAGAAAACAUCGUCACUUCAUCCUAAUUUCCCUCAGCCUAACUAUAGGUUUUACUAUUUCCAAAGGUCAAUUUUCCCCCUCUAGACAGCAUAAGUUUCCUCUGUAGGUGGAGUGUGGUCUUUUUCUUGAAUGACCCAAUAUACAUACAGUUUGUUCAGUCACAACAAAGAUAUUUGGGAUAUUAGAUAGCCAGGGAUAAAAACAGUCAUCAUGUAUAUAUGAACAAAGAAAUUCCCACUUUGACUGAGGUGAGCUUCCUGUGCACUGGGCUCAUAUCAACAAGCCAUUAACCUAUUGAGCCGUGUAUACAGUGCGCUCUACUAUAUUUUUUUACUUGUCUAACACCAGACAAUUUUACUCGUCAAUGGGAGAAGCUUGCAGCUUAGUAGGUUAAACAAAUAAUCUGAAAAUGUCUCUAGUUAAUCCAUUGAUCGAGCCGCAAUAUGCCCCAGUGCACCUUACUUAUUUUCUUUAUUUGUCUAAUGCCAGACGAUUUUACUUGUCAAUGGGCAAGUUCUGCAGCUUUAAAGUGGUUAAUCAGUUAUGGGUGCAUAACUUAAAACUUUUUUCAUGCUUGUAGUGAAUGGUGCAACUGAAUAUGAAGAUGAUGUAAAUGAAUUUGCCAAUACUCCAUCCACACCAUCAACACCAGGUUUGUUAAAUUUGUGUGAAAUAAUUUUUAGCUAAGGGCUGGUUCAUAUGAAGGGCAUGUUCGUAUGACCCAGGCUGGCCUGGUAAGCCGGGCUGGCUUGCUUUGCCGGGCUAAGUUGUUAUUUGUUUCACAUGCAUGAGGAAGGCUGGCCUGGUUCCCAU
rnacentral:lncRNA from 1 species